CGUCAAAUCAUCAUGCCCUUUAUGGCCUGGGCCACACACGUGCUACAAUGGCCGGUACAGCGGGGUGCGAAGGCGCGAGCCGGAGCGAAUCCCUAAAAGCCGGUCUCAGUUCGGAUUGCAGGCUGCAACUCGCCUGCAUGAAGGCGGAAUCGCUAGUAAUCGCGGAUCAGCAUGCCGCGGUGAAUACGUUCCCGGGCCUU
rnacentral:rRNA from 1 species